CAGCAGUGGGGAAUAUUGCACAAUGGGGGAAACCCUGAUGCAGCGACGCCGCGUGAAGGAAGAAGUAUCUCGGUAUGUAAACUUCUAUCAGCAGGGAAGAAAAUGACGGUACCUGACUAAGAAGCCCCGGCUAACUACGUGCCAGCAGCCGCGGUAAUACGUAGGGGGCAAGCGUUAUCCGGAUUUACUGGGUGUAAAGGGAGCGUAGACGGAAGAGCAAGUCUGAUGUGAAAGGCUGGGGCUUAACCCCAGGACUGCAUUGGAAACUGUUUUUCUAGAGUGCCGGAGAGGUAAGCGGAAUUCCUAGUGUAGCGGUGAAAUGCGUAGAUAUUAGGAGGAACACCAGUGGCGAAGGCGGCUUACUGGACGGUAACUGACGUUGAGGCUCGAAAGCGUGGGGAGCAAACAGGAUUAGAUACCCUGGUAG
rnacentral:rRNA from 1 species